AAAAAAAUAAAAAUUAAAAAAAAUUAGCGAGGUGUGGUGGUGUGUUCCUGCAAUCCCAGCUACUCAGGAGGCUGAUGUGGGAGGAUGGCCUGAGCCUGGGAGGCAUUGGACUUCAUAAGAAUUAAAAACUUUUGUGUAUCAAAGGACAUAAUCAAGAAAAUGAAAGGACAACACAUAGAUAGGAGAAAAUAUUAAAUGAAAUACUGAUACGCACAACAAUAUUGAUGAAACUUGAAAACAUGACACUAAAUGAAAGAAGCUAGUCGUGAAUGGCCACAUAUUGUAUGAUUCUAUUUAUAUGAAACAUCCAGAAUAGGCAAGUCCAUUGAGACAGAAGGCAGAUUCAUGAUUUCCAGGGGCUGGGAAUGGAGGAUAUGGGGAGUGACUGCUUACUGAGUUUGGUUUUUGGUGUUUUUGUUUGUUUUUGCAGGCAGGUGAUGAAAAUGGUCUUGAAUUAUGUAGUGAUGAUAGUUACACAACAGUGUGAAUAUAAUAAAAACCACUGAAUUGUAUACUGUAAACAGUGGCAUGGCUGUUUGCACUAAAGGGUUGGGUAAUUUCUAAGUAGAUUAUUUUGGCUGUUGUCUCUUAUGCACAAGAGAUUCCCUCUAUAAAUGCUAGAGCACAUUUAGAAUCAGUUGCAUUUCCAGAAUUUCUCUCCUUAGGGGAGUGUCUUAUUUGGAAAGGGGACAUUAGGGGUUUAUUGGGAAGCUGAGUCUGCAUAGUACUCUAUAUAAGAUUGAGAAAGGGUCAAAUGGCCAAAUUUGAA
rnacentral:lncRNA from 1 species